rnacentral:lncRNA from 1 species
GAUAACAUGGAGUUUCCUGUUCCUGUGCUGGACAGACACCACCCAUCAGAAAAUGCAUUUUCAGUUCCCUGGCAUGGACUGCAGCAACAGGACCAUCUGUGCUGCUCCUUUGACUUUGACAAGGCAGAUUUGGCUGAUGCACAGCACUUACAGCAAAGAGCUGCUCAGUUCCCCUGGCCUUACAUAAACCA